CCCAAUGACUGCUAAUCUGGGCAAACUCCUCAUCAAAUCUAUCAUGUGGGGUGAGGCAGAGCAAACAGCAAAACAAUCGGUUACAAAACAGCCAGCAGGUUGGUGUCAUCUAAAUUAAUUCAGGAAUUUAAUGGUGAGUUUGAAAUGAUUAAUUACACAGAGUGACGCUAUUUAAAAUGUUCAUUUAAAAAAAAAAUAAUAGAUGAUCAAAUCAGGUCAUUUUGACUUUAACAACAAGGGAAACUCUCAACCAUCUACAACCUGUGCAAAAAUUUGACUAUAUAUAUAUUAAAAUAUGUAACUUGGGAGUGAGAUGUAAUCUCUCAACUCAUCUACGAAAGCAGCAACAGCCUAUUUGGCCCAAACCAGUCUGGAAAGCAUAUAUAAAAUGAUGAUAGUGUAAAUGUUUCUACAA